UAAAAACCCCGACUUCGGAAGGGGUGUAUUUAUUAGAUACAAAACCAAUGCCCUUCGGGGCUCUUUGGUGAUUCAUGAUAACUAUACGAAUCGCACGGCCUUGCGCCGGCGAUGGUUCAUUCAAAUUUCUUCCCUAUCAACUUUCGAUGUUUGGGUAUUGGCCAAACAUGGUUGCAACGGGUAACGGAGGGUUAGGGCUCGACCCCGGAGAAGGAGCCUGAGAAACGGCUACUACAUCCAAGGAAGGCAGCAGGCGCGCAAAUUACCCAAUCCCGACUCGGGGAGGUGGUGACAAUAAAUACUGGUACAGGGCCCUUUCGGGCCUUGUAAUUGGAAUGAGUACAAUUUAAAUCCCUUAACGAGGAACAAUUGGAGGGCAAGUCUGGUGCCAGCAGCCGCGGUAAUUCCAGCUCCAAUAGCGUAUAUUAAAAGUUGUUGUGGUUAAAAARGCUCGUAGUURAMCCUUKGGGCCUGGCUGGCCCGGUCCGCCUYMMCGCGKGCACUKGKUYCCGSCCGGGMCUUUYCCCUCUGUGRAACCCCAUACCCUUUMACUGGGSCGUGGCGGGAAAACAGRMM
rnacentral:rRNA from 1 species